rnacentral:rRNA from 1 species
UUGGUUAAGUUAGAAAGGGCGCACGGUGGAUGCCUUGGCACUAGGAGCCGAAGAAGGACGGGACUAACACCGAUAUGCUUUGGGGAGCUGUACGUAAGCGUUGAUCCAGAGAUUUCCGAAUGGGGGAACCCACUAUCUUUAGUCGGAUAGUAUCCUUACGUGAAUACAUAGCGUGAGGAAGGCAGACCCAGGGAACUGAAACAUCUAAGUACCUGGAGGAAGAGAAAGAAAAAUCGAUUUCCUGAGUAGCGGCGAGCGAAACGGAAAGAGCCCAAACCAAGAAGCUUGCUUCUUGGGGUUGUAGGACACUCUAUACGGAGUUACAAAAGAAAGUUAUAAAUGAAGCGGUCUGGAAAGGCCCGCCAAAGACGGUAACAGCCCGGUAGUUGAAAUGGCUUUCCCUCCAGAGUGGAUCCUGAGUACGGCGGAACACGUGAAAUUCCGUCGGAAUCCGGGAGGACCAUCUCCCAAGGCUAAAUACUCCCUAGUGACCGAUAGUGAACCAGUACCGUGAGGGAAAGGUGAAAAGCACCCCGGAAGGGGAGUGAAACAGUUCCUGAAACCGUGUGCCUACAAGUAGUUAGAGCCCGUUAAUGGGUGAUAGCGUGCCUUUUGUAGAAUGAACCGGCGAGUUACGAUUUGUUGCAAGGUUAAGCGGAAAAAGCGGAGCCGUAGCGAAAGCGAGUCUGAAUAGGGCGCAUAAGUAACAGGUCGUAGACCCGAAACCAGGUGAUCUACCCAUGUCCAGGAUGAAGGUAAGGUAAUACUUACUGGAGGUCCGAACCCACGCACGUUGAAAAGUGCGGGGAUGAGGUGUGGGUAGCGGAGAAAUUCCAAUCGAACUUGGAGAUAGCUGGUUCUCUCCGAAAUAGCUUUAGGGCUAGCCUCGAGGUAAAGAGUCAUGGAGGUAGAGCACUGUUUGGACUAGGGGCCCUUCUCGGGUUACCGAAUUCAGAUAAACUCCGAAUGCCAUGUACUUAUACUCGGGAGUCAGACUGCGAGUGAUAAGAUCCGUAGUCGAAAGGGAAACAGCCCAGACCACCAGUUAAGGUCCCCAAAUAUAUGUUAAGUGGAAAAGGAUGUGGGGUUGCUUAGACAACCAGGAUGUUGGCUUAGAAGCAGCCACCAUUGAAAGAGUGCGUAAUAGCUCACUGGUCGAGUGACCCCGCGCCGAAAAUGUACCGGGGCUAAACAUAUUACCGAAACUGUGGAUGAACCUCUUUAGAGGUUCGUGGUAGGAGAGCGUUCUAAGGGCGGUGAAGUCAGACCGGAAGGACUGGUGGAGCGCUUAGAAGUGAGAAUGCCGGUAUGAGUAGCGAAAGAAGGGUGAGAAUCCCUUCCACCGAAUAUCUAAGGUUUCCUGAGGAAGGCUCGUCCGCUCAGGGUUAGUCGGGACCUAAGCCGAGGCCGAUAGGCGUAGGCGAUGGACAACAGGUAGAGAUUCCUGUACCAGUGCUAAUUGUUUAACCGAUGGGGUGACACAGAAGGAUAGGGAAUCGCACGAAUGGAAAUGUGCGUCCAAGCAGUGAGUGUGAGAAGUAGGCAAAUCCGCUU